rnacentral:rRNA from 1 species
AUUGAACGCUGGCGGCAUGCUUUACACAUGCAAGUCGAACGGCAGCACGGGGGCAACCCUGGUGGCGAGUGGCGAACGGGUGAGUAACACAUCGGAACGUGCCCAGUUGCGGGGGAUAACCUAUCGAAAGGUAGGCUAAUACCGCAUGAGCUCGGCAAGAGGAAAGCGGGGGACUCAGCGAUGGGCCUCGCGCGACUGGAGCGGCCGAUGUCCGAUUAGCAGUUGGUGGGGUAAAGGCUUACCAAGGCGACGAUCGGUAGCUGGUCUGAGAGGAUGAUCAGCCACACUGGGACUGAGACACGGCCCAGACUCCUACGGGAGGCAGCAGUGGGGAAUUUUGGACAAUGGGGCAACCCUGAUCCAGCCAUGCCGCGUGAGUGAAGAAGG